GGCAUCAUGGCCUGUACCCGAAACCGACACAGGUGGGGUGGUAGAGAAUACCGAGGGGCGCGAGGUAACUCUCUCUAAGGAACUCGGCAAAAUGGCCCCGUAACUUCGGGAGAAGGGGUGCCACCGCAAGGUGGUCGCAGUGAAGAGGCUCAGGCGACUGUUUACCAAAAACACAGGUCUCCGCUAAGUCGCAAGACGAUGUAUGGGGGCUGACGCCUGCCCAGUGCCGGAAGGUUAAGGAAGCUGGUCAGCGCAAGCGAAGCUAGCGACUGAAGCCCCGGUGAACGGCGGCCGUAACGAUAACGGUCCUAAGGUAGCGAAAUUCCUUGUCGGGUAAGUUCCGACCCGCACGAAAGGCGUAACGAUCUGGGCGCUGUCUCGGAGAGAGGCUCGGCGAAAUAGAAUUGUCUGUGAAGAUGCGGACUACGUGCACCCGGACAGAAAGACCCUAUGAAGCUUUACUGUAGCUUGGUAUUGUGCCCGGGCUCGCAAUGCGCAGGAUAGGUGGGAGGCUUUGAUCAUCGGCUUGCGGGUCGAUGUGAGCCAACGGUGAGAUACCACUCUUUGCGAGCUAGGGUUCUAACGGCCACCCGUCAUCCGGGGGCCGGACAGUACCUGGUGGGCAGUUUGACUGGGGCGCUCGCCUCCUAAAAGGUAACGGAGGCGCGCAAAGGUUUGCUCAGGCUGGUUGGAAAUCAGCCGACGAGUGUAAAAGCAGAAGCAAGCUUGACUGUGAGACCAACAAGUCGAACAGGGAGGAAACUCGGCUUUAGUGAUCCGACGGUUCUGAGUGGAAGGGCCGUCGCUCAACGGAUAAAAGUUACUCUAAGGAUAACAGGCUGAUCUCCCCCAAGAGUUCACAUCGACGGGGAGGUUUGGCACCUCGAUGUCGGCUCAUCGCAACCUGGGGCUGAAGUCGGUCCCAAGGGUUGGGCUGUUCGCCCAUUAAAGCGGUACGCGAGCUGGGCUCAGAACGUCGAGAGACAGUUCGGUCCAUAUCCGGUGCACGCGCAGGAAUAUUGAGAGGAUUUCUCCCUAGUACGAGAGGACCGGGAGGAACGCACCUCUGGUGUACCAGUUAUCGUGCCAACGGUAAACGCAGGGUAGCCAUGUGCGGAGUGGAUAACCGCUGAAAGCAUCUAAGUGGGAAGCCCACCUCAAGAUGAGUAUUCCCAUGGCGUAAGCCAGUAAGGUCACGGGAAGAACACCCGUUGAUAGGCUCUAUGUGGAAGCGCAGUAAUGCGUGAAGCAGAGGAGUACUAAUAGACCGAGGGCUUGAC
rnacentral:rRNA from 1 species